CAAAUCAUAAAGCCCAAAUCACAAAUUCACAAAUUACAUUAUUAAAUCUGUAAAUCACCAAUAUAUAUUUAUCACAAAUCACCAAUAUAUAUUUAUCACAGUGGCGAAGGCACGGAUAGAUGGAUGGCAACAACUGGAGUUGAAGAAAGCCGAACGGUAUUUGGGAGAAAAAAAGGCCAGAUAAGAGGGAAGGAGAGCACGGGAUUUUGGAAUGCAAUUAGGGCAACAUUAAAGCAAGUAUAUUAGUGGGCUCAUGGCUGAUGGCUAAUUGAACGGCAGAUGGACGAUUGAACGGUGGUAAUUUCUUUGAUGGGAGAGAACGACAGUCGGAGAAGGUAAGAAGAAAUCGCAGGAAGAAAAAAG
rnacentral:lncRNA from 1 species